rnacentral:rRNA from 1 species
CAUUGAAUAAACUUGCACAGGCUGUUGCUGGCCUCUAGGGGUACCGUGCACGCUUGUCAUCUUUAUCUUCUCCACUUGUGCACAUAUUGUAGACCUGGGAUCAGAAGUUAUUUUCGAGUUGGGACUGCUGUGCUUCAUUCAGUUGAAGUCAGCUUUGCCUUGUACUUUUCAGGUCUAUGUCAUUUUUUGUUCACAAUCUCUUGACAUGUUUAGAAUGUUGAAUCAGGUCGUUUUGUACCUAUAAAGUUGAAUAUAUACAACUUUCAGCAACGGAUCUCUUGGCUCUCGCAUCGAUGAAGAACGCAGCGAAAUGCGAUAAGUAAUGUGAAUUGCAGAAUUCAGUGAAUCAUCGAAUCUUUGAACGCAUCUUGCGCUCCUUGGUAUUCCGAGGAGCAUGCCUGUUUGAGUGUCAUUUAAGUUUCUCAACCACAUCACAUUUUGAUGAGGCUUGGAUGUGGGGGGUCUUUCUUGCAGGCAUCUUUCGAAGUCUGCUCCCCUAAAAUGCAUUAGUGGUAUCUGCUGCUGCUAUAGGUGUGAUAAUUAUCUAUGUCUUUAGUAUGCUGUGAAACAGAUUGCACUGCUUCUAACAAGUGAAGAUCUUCUUUUGAUAAGAAGGCCACAU